CUAAUACCGCAUAACCAUUCAGACCACAUGGUCUGAAUGUAAAAGACGGCCUUUGGCUGUCACUUUUGGACGGACCCGCGGCGUAUUAGUUAGUUGGUAAGGUAACGGCUUACCAAGACAAUGAUACGUAGCCGACCUGAGAGGGUAAUCGGCCACAUUGGGACUGAGACACGGCCCAAACUCCUACGGGAGGCAGCAGUAGGGAAUCUUCCACAAUGGACGAAAGUCUGAUGGAGCAACGCCGCGUGAGUGAAGAAGGUUUUAGGAUCGUAAAACUCUGUUGUUGGAGAAGAACAGGGACUAGAGUAACUGUUAGUCCUUUGACGGUAUCCAACCAGAAAGCCACGGCUAACUACGUGCCAGCAGCCGCGGUAAUACGUAGGUGGCAAGCGUUGUCCGGAUUUAUUGGGCGUAAAGCGAGCGCAGGCGGUUUUUUAAGUCUGAUGUGAAAGCCUUCGGCUUAACCGAAGAAGUGCAUUAGAAACUGGGAAACUUGAGUGCAGAAGAGGACAGUGGAACUCCAUGUGUAGCGGUGAAAUGCGUAGAUAUAUGGAAGAACACCAGUGGCGAAGGCGGCUGUCUGGUCUGUAACUGACGCUGAGGCUCGAAAGUAUGGGGAGCGAACAGGAUUAGAUACCCUGGUAGUCCAUACCGUAAACGAUGAAUGCUAAGUGUUGGAGGGUUUCCGCCCUUCAGUGCUGCAGCUAACGCAUUAAGCAU
rnacentral:rRNA from 1 species